rnacentral:misc_RNA from 1 species
GAUGAAGAACGCAUCGAAAUGCGAUAAGUAGUGUGAAUUGCAGAAUUCAGUGAAUCAUCGAAUCUUUGAACGCACAUUGCGCCCUUUGGUAUUCCUUAGGGCAUGCCUGUUCGAGCGUCAUUUAAACCUUCAAGCUCAGCUUGGUGUUGGGUGACUGUCCGCUUCACCGCGGACUCGCCUCAAAAUUAUUGGCGGCCGGUACAUUGGCUCUCGAGCGCAGCAGAAACGCGUAACUCGAGGUCCUCGUGCUGGCUCCCAGAAGCUAUCUUCACAAUUUUGACCUCGGAUCAGGUAGGGAUACCCGCUGAACUUAAGCAUAUCAAUAAGCGGAGGA